rnacentral:rRNA from 1 species
UGCGUAGGCGGUCAGAUAAGUCAGUUGUGAAAUACCCCGGCUUAACCGGUGGAACUGCGAUUGAUACUGUUUGACUUGAAUCAGGUUGAGGUAGGCGGAAUGUGGCAUGUAGCGGUGAAAUGCUUAGAUAUGCCAUAGAACACCGAUUGCGAAGGCAGCUUGCUGGACCUGUAUUGACGCUGAGGCACGAAAGCGUGGGGAGCAAACAGGAUUAGAUACCCUGGUAGUCCACGCCCUAAACGAUGUUUACUUGCUGUGCGGGCUUCGGCUUGCGUGGCGAAGCGAAAGCGAUAAGUAAACCACCUGGGGAGUACGCCCGCAAGGGUGAA